GACGAACGCUGGCGGCGUGCUUAACACAUGCAAGUCGAACGGAAAGGCCCCUUUGGGGGUACUCGAGUGGCGCACGGGUGAGUAACACGUGAGUAACCUGCCCUUGACUUCGGGAUAACUUCAGGAAACUGGGGCUAAUACCGGAUAGGAAUCCUUGCUGCAUGGUGGGGGUUGGAAAGCUUCGGCGGUUUUGGAUGGACUCGCGGCUUAUCAGCUUGUUGGUGGGGUAGUGGCUUACCAAGGCUUUGACGGGUAGCCGGCCUGAGAGGGCGACCGGCCACAUUGGGACUGAGAUACGGCCCAGACUCCUACGGGAGGCAGCAGUGGGGAAUAUUGCACAAUGGGCGGAAGCCUGAUGCAGCAACGCCGCGUGCGGGAUGACGGCCUUCGGGUUGUAAGCCGCUUUCAGCAGGGGCGAAGCUUGUGGUGACGGUACCUGCAGAAGAAGCACCGGCUAACUACGUG
rnacentral:rRNA from 1 species